rnacentral:rRNA from 1 species
AGGAUGAACGCUAGCGGCAGGCUUAACACAUGCAAGUCGAGGGGCAUCGGGAGUAGCAAUACUUGCCGGCGACCGGCGCAAGGGUGCGUAACGCGUGAGCAACAUGCCCGUAUCAGGGGGAUAAUCCAUGGAAACGUGGUCUAAUACCCCAUAGUAAUUAUGUAAGGCAUCUUAUAUAAUUUAAAGCUUUGGUGGAUACGGAUUGGCUCGCGUGACAUUAGCUAGAUGGUAAGGUAACGGCUUACCAUGGCUACGAUGUCUAGGGGUUCUGAGAGGAAGGUCCCCCACACUGGAACUGAGACACGGUCCAGACUCCUACGGGAGGCAGCAGUGAGGAAUAUUGGACAAUGGAUGGAAAUCUGAUCCAGCCAUGCCGCGUGCCAGGAAGACGGCCCUAUGGGUUGUAAACUGCUUUUGUAUGGGAGCAAUAAGGGCUACGCGUAGUCCGAUGAGAGUACCAUACGAAUAAGCACCGGCUAACUCCGUGCCAGCAGCGGC